rnacentral:misc_RNA from 1 species
GUCAAUUUAAAAAAAAAAAAAAAUCUUAUUUUGCUCUACCUCUCCAAAUUACUUUCUAUUUAAUUAAGACAAUCUAAAAAUAAUGGUAAACUUUACUUCUAAAUUUGAAUGUAUCAUCAGUGGCUGUUUGAUUCCAUGGUGUUGGAUUUCUUUCAUGUGGACUUAUUAUUCCCAGUGUUAUUGGAAAUUUUUUUUUGGUUUGAACUGCAUUGCUCUGAAAUCUUUCAAAGUAGUGAG